CCAUAAGACUCCUGAACAUCUAGUCAAAUGGCUACCCAGACUAUUUGCAAUUUUCUUUUGUUUUUAGAAGAUGCCACAUGAAACAGCACAGAGGUCACAGGCAGAAACAAAAUAAAACAUGAUCCUAUAUGAUACCAGGAACAUCUGCAAAAAGUUCAGGGAGAGAUACAGGGAGAAGGGAGAAGUGAAAUCUCUCUGAGCUUACAAAGCAAGAACAAAUAAGCAAGAGAUGGAAAUGGAAAUGCAACCAAUGGAAUAGAAGACAGACUUUAAAGAGUUGCAAUGGAGACCUACCUAUCAGGCAACACAACACCUUAGUCACCAGAGGACUUGCAGCCAGAACGAGGCCAUCAUACCUGCCCCUGAUGCAUGUCCUGUUACCCCUUCCUCAUCAUCUGCAACAGGAAUGAGAAGUCGAAUACUUGUUGGAAGGAUAAAGGUUGGAAGAAGUCACUAAAAACAUAGGGAUCUUUGCAUGACAAAUGUCAAACUUAAUAAAGCUUAACGGAAAACUGAGAAAUACAAAAAAAGGUAUGAUCAACAGAUGAAGAAAAUGGAGAGACAAUAUUCCCCGAAGACAAAUACAAGACAGAAAACGAAGGGAACUCCAAAGAACUUGAGAAGGAUUUUAUUGUUUAUUGUUUGAUGCUGGUGAGCAGACAUGGUGGUUUGAGGGGAAAAACGAAGCUGAAGAGAGAGAGAAGGGAAAACAAAGAGGGAAACGUGGAGAAGUUCACUGUACAUUUGACGGUGAAAAGGUGUGUGGCACACUGCAUAUUCUACUGGAGGACUUCUCCAAAGGAUUGAAAGAGAAGUUAGGGAAGCACGUGUACAACAUUCGACACCAAUAUUCCAAACUGAGAGAAUUAAAAGAGAAUCUGCAGAAAGAGGAGAUCAUCGUGCAUAUUGACUUUGCAUAGAACUCGGGUGCAACUUUCGCUGGGGAUAUCUCCCCCACAUUCUGAAAUUGCAUUUUUGUUCCCCUCCAGUUUUAUCAUUGGAAUGUGAAAAUAGGUCAACGGUGUGCUUUAGGACCAUGAAGACGCCUCCGAGUGUUCGGAUAGGCUGUUUGGAGUGUUUAUCUGACUGAAUAAAACAAAUUAUAAUAAAGUUGCACUUUGGUGAUUCUCACAAGCAGGUGACCCUCCACACCUGUUUUGGGUAUACCACAAAUAACGCCGUUUCACUUCGCUCUCUGAGCUCUUCUAUGCGGAUGACCCCUCUGCAAUCUGGGCGGAUGACACCUCUCUCAAAAACCUUAGACUACCGUGAGCUCUGCCCAUCGGCUACUUUCGGAAUUUUACUUUGUCUUUAAUUAAUGAAAUGUUUAACAUGGUUGUUGUUCAAAAUGUUUGCAAUAAAAUAUUGUUUUCAUACACUUUUUUUUUAUACAUAAAUGUAAUUUCCACCACACCUUGACAUUUCCACCACACCCAUAUUUUUUAGGUAAAUUAGUAUAUUAUGUAUCAUUUACAUUGAUUGAUUUAUUUUAGAUAGGGAAAUCAUAUUGUUGUUAUCAUAAUCGCUCAAAAAGGCUGGGUGGAAAUAUCUUAUUUUUUAUGAUAAAUGUUUUCAGCUGUCACAAAGGCAAGUUUAUACAUUCAGGCGUUGUGUUGAAUUAUUAAUUUUAGAAAAACCUUAAAAAGCACUAAAAUAAUACUCAAUGCAAGUUAAUGUACAAAUGUAUAAGACGUGUUAUAAAUUAAUUGUAUGAUAUUUCAUUUUCAACUAACACUGAUGUUUAUGACGUGAUGUAAAUUAAAUGUGUCUAUGGCUGUCUGAGAAAAAUAUAUAAAUUCCUGAAUAUACACGGUCCCAGCACAGACACCAGCCAUUGGCCCAGUGUCCACAGCCCUAUUCCAUCAAAACUCGAUCCUCCACCAAGACUCCCACCUGCCCUUCAACCAAACCUAAGCCUUCCAUUCCACCUAAAUCUAAUUUGCCCAAAACUGCCAACCUAAUUUCCGGCACAACGCCUGGAACAUGCCCCCAUGAUACCACCCCCAGACUCCUUGCCCCCCCCCAGUCCUAUGAGAACAAUAUGAUCUGUGAUCACUUCCUGCUGGGGUACUGCCCCAAGAGGGAGAGGUGCCACCUGUACCACAUGCAGUACCCCUUCCACUGGCAGGUGAAGAGGACUGACAUCCCGGAAUGGGUCAGCCUGGAACCCAGCUCCCAGCUGAAAGCAGAACGUUGGUUCUGUGACCCUGAUAAGGAAAGGGUCUACCUGACACAUGGGUGAGUGAGUGGCACGAGGUAGAUGUUGCCCCCCACCACAGAUCUUCAGAUGACCCUGGCCUAUAUCCCGAUUUCUAACCAUGAGAAAAUGUCUGACCCUGUAUCAAUGGUAAGGGGCAACUUCUACCUUAUCAGAGUGGGUAUAGUUAAGACUUGGGUUAAUUACUUGGGGUUGGAGCUUGCAGCUUUAGGAUUAUUCCAUUGGUUCCUUUUAAAAUGGGUAGCUGAAGUAUUUGACCCAGGUCUGAUGGGUAAUGGUAAUAUUAUGUGAAGUAAUGUAAGUUUUUCCUCUCUUAAUAAUCAUUUACAUUUGAAAGAAAAUAACUACUCCCUCAGACAGCUCUUCUUCUAGGACUCUCAAGGACCAACUCUGCCUGAACUUUGUCUCACUGAUGGUAGAGAAUUCCACUGUGUACAGCCAAGUCAGGAGGCUGUCCAACACCACUGGCCCAGAGCUGAACCCUCACUUCCCAACACAGUGGCGCUUCUGGGAAUCUGACUAUGGCUGGGAAGCUGGGAGAAGUGUGUCCCACCCACCAAACUGUGGGGAUUUUACUUCAUGUUUGGUGUGAGGAAGUGAAAGCCUACUGGCCAUCUCAAAUUUGACAAAGCAAUUUUCAUUUGUUUAGAGAAGUUGUUCUUAGCCCUCAGUCUGUAGAUGGCUUUCCUCUCCUCCUUUCCUUGAUAGAUGAAAUGGAUUGCUAGAACAUGUCCUGACAUUUGAAGUGACCUAUGACUCCUUUGGAGUAGAUUGACUGUAAUAACGGAUACUGGAUCAGCUAUUUAAGCAAAUGUCUACUGGUUAAAUUCAGGGCUAGGGAAAUCUGUUUCUAGAUCUGUGGUUUGGGGCUGACUUCAUCCUCCUCCCCUGUACCACCUAGGAGAACCGUGAGCUCAUGCUGGACUGUCUUAGUAAGGGUCAGGACAGUUGCUGGCUGGGUAAAGACUGGGCCUGUGUAAAUCUCAAGAUGCUUACAGAGAGAAACUUCAUCACAGACUCCACCCACCGUAUCAGAUGCAGACCCACCUUCCGCUCGCCAGACUCCCUAAGACAACACCUCAGGACACUCCCAGUUGGACAGGUAACCCUCCCCAGUCUUGAGGUGGACCCUAUGGAGAAUUUCAGCUGCCGGUAUCCACCGAUGUAGACCCUGAGUCCAGGGAACCCCUUUUCCAUGCUGGAGGUUCCUCCUGGGAUGCUGGUUUACAGGACGGUUCACGACCUGUUCCACAGAAACAUGCCAGAGAGCCAGGUCCAGAUUACCAGCAGGUCCAGAACACCUUCCAUUGAGACAAGUAUAGAAUGCAGAAGAAGCACAUGGAGGACACGCAUGACAAUUGUAGCGUGGUCCUGGAGAGACACCUAUUCCAUGGAACAUGCGAGAGUGCCGCCAUGGACAUCUGCCGACAGAACUUCGACCCUUGCGUGGCGAAAACCACUAGUCAUUAUGGCCGUGGCGUUUACUUCACCUGUGAAGCUUUUCGGUUCCGCCUCUACUCCAUCAGAGGGCCGGGGGGAGACUUUACAGACUGUGGGUUCAUGUUCCUGGCUAAGGUGCUUGUGGGUAAAGCCUGACUAUGUCCGUCCCCCUCGACUCCCCAACCCCACUAAGUCAGGACGGCAUCACUGCGAUUCCAGUGCGGAUCAGAAGCAUCCUACGAUAUUUGUUGUGUUUGACAGCAGCCAGUGCUACCCCUACUACCUCAAGUACAAAGUCCUGGCAAACAAUCACAGUGCUGUGUGAAGGGCAUAUAAAACAGAACCAGGACUGGUUUAGGAGGGCACAUUAUUUUGGAUGGAGUAUUGUCGACUUUACACUUUUAUUUACAUUUUUCACUCAAAAUUGGACAGCCAGUUAUUUGCGACACUGAAAUGUACUGUAACAAUGUUCAAUUUUUUUGUGGCACAAUUAACUAUUAGGUCAAGAGUUCAAGACUCUUGUGGAUUGAUUGGUUUCUUUUGUUGCCUUUUAAUUUAAGUCACUGAACAUUUAGUCUAAUUGUAGGACUAUAAUGAAAACAAAAUGUUAGACGUGUUCUUUCUUUUGGUAAAAGGCCCUCUGUGGAAGAAAUCACUGUUCCUAACAGCUCAAUUUCUUCCAUCAACUCUUAAGUUGUCUGUGUUCAAUGAGAAGUGAACUCAUUAUUUUCACUGAAAAUCCAUUCGAUUCAAAUGCAUCACUGCUGAUCAUAGUCAAUAAACCAAUAUAAAUUAAAUAUUCUGGCUACCACUGUUUCAAUGUGUAUAAAUUGUGUAGUUCUGGUUGCCGCUUCUGUGCCCUCUUGUGGAGAA